rnacentral:lncRNA from 1 species
GGUAGGACCACGGCCUCACCGACAUGGCCCCAGCUAAUUGGUGGAUCCUGGGUUCAACCCUCCCGGAAUCCGAGCGUGGGUCCGGGGCCGGGAAGAAAAGAAAGUCACCCAGGACUACAAUUCCCACAAUGCACUACAUGGGCUUCUCUCGACGUGUGCUCUUGGAAAACGUAGUACAUUGUGGGGCAAGAUUUAAAAAUGCAGGUUCCCAGUUAUGCCAUGUUGACUUCACAUAAAUCCACCUCGAAGGGCAGCAUUGACAAAAAAAAGAAAUGUAUGUAUUAUGUAUAUACUAAGAUAUACAAUAAAUAUAUAUUUCAUAUAUGCA